CUCAUUAUGUGUACUAAAACACACAUGUAUCGACACGUACACCGGGGUGCCUCGUAAGAGGUCGGUUGUAUGGGAUACAUGGAGGCCCAAC
rnacentral:sRNA from 14 species